AGGAAUGUGGCUUAGUAAUAGAGUGCUUGCCUCAUACGCAGGAAGCCCUGGGUUCGAUUCCUCAGUACUA
rnacentral:tRNA from 1 species